rnacentral:misc_RNA from 1 species
AACAUGAUUUCUGAAACAGCUGCUCAGAAGAAGCUUAUAGACCUUGGAUAGUCACCCUCCAAGUGGUUGUAUAACAAUAAAAAUACUCAGUCUUGAUCUGCACAACAGAGUAAUUGAGUUGAGAACAACAAGUUAAAAAGCAAAAUGAGUCUCCUUGAUUGUAGUUGCUUCCUCUCCACUGUUGGUACUAGUGAGGUAAGUGCAUUAAAAAUGUUUUUGAUUUUCUUGUUUUUUUUUUCUAGUUGUUCAAUCGGUUAUGUGAUAAACCAAAUUUAUCCGAUCUUGAUGGGAAAAUAUUUUUUAAACAAAAAGAUGACAUUUUUUUUGCUGAGUUUGCUGGAAAUGAAAGUUGUGGAAAAACAGAGCUUAUGCUUAACUCAAUUGUUAACACUAUAAUGCCCAAAGAGUGGAACAAUUUGU